rnacentral:rRNA from 1 species
CGCCUCUUGACUAAACAUAAGAGGUCCAGCCUGCCCGGUGAUUAAUUUUAACGGCCGCGGUACCCUAACCGUGCGAAGGUAGCACAAUCACUUGUUCCUUAAAUAGGGACUAGUAUGAACGGCACCACGAAGACUACACUGUCUCCCCCCUACAAUCAGUGAAACUGAUCUCCCCGUGAAGAAGCGGGGAUAAACCUAUAAGACGAGAAGACCCCAUGGAGCUUAAAACUCAGUACCACCUACUCUUUAUUACUUCAUGAUAAUCCAGUAUGCAUGACCACUAGUUUUUGGUUGGGGUGACCGCGGAGUAAAACCUAACCUCCACAAUGAACGGAAUUAAAUUCCUAACUCUAGACCUACACCUCGAAAAAUUAAAAUAUUAACAUAAUUUGACCCAAGCCCAUUGAUCAACGAACCAAGUUACCCUGGGGAUAACAGCGCAAUCCAUUUUAAGAGCCCCUAUCGACAAAUGGGUUUACGACCUCGAUGUUGGAUCAGGGUAUCCUAGUGGUGCAGCCGCUACUAAAGGUUCGUUUGUUCAACGAUUAAAACCCUACG